UACGUAGGGUGCGAGCGUUGUCCGGAAUUAUUGGGCGUAAAGAGCUUGUAGGCGGUCUGUCGCGUCUGCUGUGAAAAUCCGGGGCUCAACCCCGGACUUGCAGUGGGUACGGGCAGACUAGAGUGUGGUAGGGGAGACUGGAAUUCCUGGUGUAGCGGUGAAAUGCGCAGAUAUCAGGAGGAACACCGAUGGCGAAGGCAAUCCCCUGGGCCUGCACUGACGCUGAGGCGCGAAAGCUAGGGGAGCGAACAGG
rnacentral:rRNA from 1 species